UUGAAUUUUAAUGAAGAGUUUGGUUGUAGCUGGCCCAUUCAUUUGGGCGUGUGCACACCUUCCUCUUUCAUCCCACACACACCUGUGAACCUGUGAGACAGAGAUGGGGAAUUUACUUGCUGCUUUUUGGAAUACAAAGGCAAUAGGUUAUUGGACCCCCCCUCUGUCUACUCAAUUAAUAUAAACUCAAUUUAUUUUAAAACGAAUGUAAUGGAUGUAACACAUCUCAUAC
rnacentral:misc_RNA from 1 species